rnacentral:rRNA from 1 species
GACGAACGCUGGCGGCGUGCCUAAUACAUGCAAGUCGAGCGAAGUUUUUCUGGUCCUUGCACUGGAAAAAUUUAGCGGCGAACGGGUGUGUAACAUGUAUAACAUCUGUCUCAUACACUGGGACCUCCAUUGGAAAGGAUAUCUUAUACCGGAUAAUUGCAUUAACUGCAUGUCUGAUGUUUAAAAGUUUGUUUUGCUAACACUUUGAGAUGGCUUUGCGGUGCAUUAGCUAGUUGGUGGGGUAAAGGCCUACCAAGGCGACGAUGCAUAGCCGACCUGAGAGGGUGAUCGGCCACACUGGAACUGAGACACGGUCCAGACUCCUACGGGAGGCAGCAGUAGGGAAUCUUCCGCAAUGGGCGAAAGCCUGACGGAGCAACGCCGCGUGAGUGAUGAAGGAUUUCGGUUCGUAAAGCUCUGUUAUUAGGGAAGAAUGAUUGUGUAGGAACUAUACACAGUAGAGACGGUACCUAACCAGAAAGCCACGGCUAACUACGUG